rnacentral:lncRNA from 1 species
AGAACCAUCUCCUCCUCCAUCAUGCCUUCUUUCCAAAAGUUUUGGUGGUAGGUGUAGAGAAGAAACUAGGCCAAGCAGAAAUACCAGACCUGCCAAGAUUUUGAGAAAAUAAAUGCUAUCAUCACAUGAUGGCCAGAUGACGGACCUAUACAAAUUCACUUUAUAGUAUCAAAUCCUUUUAUCAAAAUCAUCACCAUGAUUUGAAACUCAACAUUGCCUUGGGGAAAUAGCUUCAG